rnacentral:rRNA from 1 species
AUACGUAGGGAGCGAGCGUUGUCCGGAAUUACUGGGCGUAAAGAGCUCGUAGGUGGUUUGUCGCGUCGUCUGUGAAAUUCCGGGGCUUAACUCCGGGCGUGCAGGCGAUACGGGCAUAACUUGAGUACUGUAGGGGAGACUGGAAUUCCUGGUGUAGCGGUGAAAUGCGCAGAUAUCAGGAGGAACACCGGUGGCGAAGGCGGGUUUCUGGGCAGUAACUGACGCUGAGGAGCGAAAGCAUGGGUAGCGAACAGGAUUAGAUACCCUGGUAGUCCAUGCCGUAAACGGUGGGCGCUAGGUGUAGGGGUCUUCCACGACUUCUGUGCCGUAGCUAACGCAUUAAGCGCCCCGCCUGGGGAGUACGGCCGCAAGGCUAAAACUCAAAUGAAUUGACGGGG